UACAGAGGUCUCAAGCGUUGUUCGGAUUCAUUGGGCGUAAAGCGCGCGUAGGCGGCCCGGUAAGUCCGCUGUAAAAGUCAAAGGCUCAACCUUUGAAUGUCAGUGGAUACUGCCGGGCUACAGUCCGGAAGAGGCGAGUGGAACUCCUGGUGUAGCGGUGGAAUGCGCAGAUAUCAGGAAGAACACCGACGGCGAAGGCAGCUCGCUGGGACGGUACUGACGCUGAGGCGCGAAAGCGUGGGGAGCGAACAGG
rnacentral:rRNA from 1 species